UACGAAGGGGGCUAGCGUUGCUCGGAAUCACUGGGCGUAAAGGGUGCGUAGGCGGGUCUUUUAAGUCAGGUGUGAAAGCCUUGAGCUCAACUCAAGAAAUGCACUUGGUACUGGGUGACUAGAGGACCGGAGAGGAUAGUGGAAUUCCCAGUGUAGUGGUGAAAUACGUAGAGAUUGGGAAGAACACCAGUGGCGAAGGCGGCUAUCUGGACGGUUUCUGACGCUAAGACGCGAAAGCGUGGGGAGCAAACAGG
rnacentral:rRNA from 1 species